rnacentral:rRNA from 1 species
GACGAACGCUGGCGGCGUGCUUAACACAUGCAAGUCGAACGAUGAACCCGGAGCUUGCUCCGGCGGAUUAGUGGCGAACGGGUGAGUAACACGUGAGUAACCUGCCCUUGACUCUGGGAUAACUGCGGGAAACUGUAGCUAAUACCGGAUACGACCCUCGGCGGCAUCGCCAGGGGGUGGAAAGAAUUUCGGUCAAGGAUGGACUCGCGGCCUAUCAGCUAGUUGGUGAGGUAACGGCUCACCAAGGCGACGACGGGUAGCCGGCCUGAGAGGGUGACCGGCCACACUGGGACUGAGACACGGCCCAGACUCCUACGGGAGGCAGCAGUGGGGAAUAUUGCACAAUGGGCGCAAGCCUGAUGCAGCAACGCCGCGUGAGGGAUGACGGCCUUCGGGUUGUAAACCUCUUUUAGUAGGGAAGAAGCGAAAGUGACGGUACCUGCAGAAAAAGCACCGGCUAACUACGUGCCAGCCGCCGUAAGAC